GACAGAGGAUGCAAGCGUUAUCCGGAAUGAUUGGGCGUAAAGCGUCUGUAGGUGGCUUUUUAAGUCUGCCGUCAAAUCCCAGGGCUUAACCCUGGACAGGCGGUGGAAACUACCAAGCUGGAGUACGGUAGGGGCAGGGGGAAUUUCCGGGGGAGCGGUGAAAUGCGUAGAGAUCGGAAAGAACACCAACGGCGAAAGCACUCUGCUGGGCCGACACUGACACUGAGAGACGAAAGCUAGGGGAGCGAAUGGG
rnacentral:rRNA from 1 species